AGAACAACAGGGAGCUCCAGGAGAGGCUGGAACAGCAAGAGCAUCAGCUGAAGGAGGCUCAGAGGAGCAGGAGCAACCUCCAGUCGCAGAUCUGGAACGCGUUGUCAGAGAUCCAGUCCAUACGGAGCUGGCGUUCGAGUGGGACCAGCGUGACGUUCCCUGGCGUGGCCGUGCCCCUCGUCCUCCUGGCUCUGCUCUUCGCAGGGACGCUGCUGCUUUGAGCACGGAGCUGGGAGAGCAUGGACCUGGCUUGUCGCCGUCCCCUUCCGCCCCCGCGGGGCAAGGAGGGACGGUUCCCAUCCUGCUGGGAUGGGGCUGGUGCUGGCAGCUCACGCAGUGCCUGGGUCGGGAGCUCCCACCAUGAGGACGUCGCGUGGGGACAUCCUGGGGGGACAUUCUGCAAAAUGCUCGCCCCUGAGCUAUGGCCAGGGCGAGAUGGGGAUGGGGCAAAGGCAGGGGACAGAGACCUGGCACUGCCCCGGGGCUGCCUUUAAGCAAGGGGUUCGCAGCUACUGUGCAGUUAGGUGGGUUUGAGCCAUUUUCCAAUAAAACUUCAUGAAAACCCGAAGUGUUUUGUUGCUCCAGCAUCAGGACAGCCUCCCCGGCACGGCUUGGGUUUGUCCCAGCCGAUUUUACCCACGGCCGGGGCCGAGCAUCCUCCCACGCACUGCACAAACCAAGCCUGCUAUGGGCUGUGACCUGCAAGAAACCACAGCCCAAAGCGGCGCUGGGCGAGAAAACCCGCAGGCAGCACCCAGAGCAACCCGGGCACACCCCGGGCAGCCACGAGCGUCCCCGUCCCCCUCCCCGGCAUGGACCCCGCGGUGCCCAAAGCCACGCUGAAGGUGCUGGGGCUGUGCGUGGCGCUGCUGGUGCUGGUGGCGGCGGUGACAGUCUCGGUGGCCGUGCUGCUGUGGCGCUCGGAGGCUCUGGGGAUGCUGCGGGGCUGCCGGGAGCGGGCGGCCAACGAGAGCCGGGUGCUGGAGCUGCGCCUGGCCGAGCUGGAGCAGGAUCGUGCCCGGCUGCAGCACGCCGCGGCCGAGAGCGCGCGGGCAGAGGAUGCUCGGCGCCGGGAGCUGGCCCAAGCACGCGAGGAGGGCGAGAAGCUCAAUUCCAGCUUGGCGUCCUGCCGGGAGCGGGCGGCCAGGCUGGAGGCCAACGCGACGGCGCUGCGGGACGAGGUGCUGGCGCUGCGGCGCGAGCGGGCUGAGCUGGCCCGCAGGAACGCGGCUCUGCAAGAGGAGCUGGCACAGGGCGCAGAGCAGGCGAAGGGGCUGCGGCAGCGGCUGGAGGAGGCGGAGGAGCAGCGGCGAGCGCUGCGGGCACGCGGGGAGAAGUGUGAGGCUCGGCAGAAAGAGCUCGAGAAAACCCUGAGGGACUACGCGGCCGAGGCGGAGGCGCUGCGACGGCGGCGGGUGGGGUCCCGCACGGCCAGGCGCAGGAAGGGCUGAAGCCCCCGCAGCAUCCUUCCUGCCCCCCCCUUUUACCAGCACACCGACCACGCUUGGGUACGGCACCGCCACCGCGCCAGCACGGCUGCGGCCCCCCCCCCCCCCCCCCCUGC
rnacentral:lncRNA from 1 species